GUUGACCUCGGAUCAGGUAGGAAUACCCGCUGAACUUAAGCAUAUCAAUAAGCGGAGGAAAAGAAACCAACAGGGAUUGCCUCAGUAACGGCGAGUGAAGCGGCAACAGCUCAAAUUUGAAAUCUGGCCCCAGGCCCGAGUUGUAAUUUGCAGAGGAUGCUUUUGGUGAGGUGCCUUCCAAGUUCCCUAGAACGGGACGCCAGAGAGGGUGAGAGCCCCGUACAGUUGGACACCGAGCCUUUGUAAAGCUCCUUCGACGAGUCGAGUAGUUUGGGAAUGCUGCUCAAAAUGGGAGGUAUAUUUCUUCUAAAGCUAAAUACCGGCCAGAGACCGAUAGCGCACAAGUAGAGUGAUCGAAAGAUGAAAAGCACUUUGAAAAGAGGGUUAAACAGCACGUGAAAUUGUUAAAAGGGAAGCGCUUGUGACCAGACUUGCGUCCGGUGAAUCACCCAGCUCUCGCGGCUGGGGCACUUCGCCGGCUCAGGCCAGCAUCAGCUCGCUGUCGGGGACAAAAGCUUCAGGAACGUAGCUCUCUUCGGGGAGUGUUAUAGCCUGUUGCAUAAUACCCUUCGGCGGGCUGAGGUACGCGCUCCGCAAGGUG
rnacentral:rRNA from 1 species